rnacentral:ribozyme from 1 species
AUAUGGCCCUGGUGGGGUGGUGGGUGGCGGGCGAAGGGCG